CCCGUCCUCGGCAUAUCCUCCAAGCAAACAACCAACAAAGCCGCCGCGUUCUCCUCUGCGGCACGCAACCUUUUCCCCUCCCCCCUUGACUAGACCAGAUUCUUGAUAUAGAAGAACACGCCGUGUCCUCCCAACCACAACUACCUCUAUCUCGGCAAGGUGAGGGUGAGUCCGUGAGGCAAUCUCACAUGAUUUUCUGCGCGAAACCCCCCGUGUUCCCUCUGGUUCGCAGGUUCCUCGUUGAUCGGCGGGUUGGGCUCGGGGCGAUCUUGGAGCGAGGCGCGAGGCGGCUUCUUCUUCGCACGUAGGCUUCAGCUCUGCCUGUCAGGCGAGUCAGAUCUGUCACCUAUCUGAUGGCCCACGGAGGAUCUGGUUGUUCCCGGCGGUCUCGAGUCGACUCUGCGGCGAGGAAGUCGUCUUCUCCGACGUGCACAUGGGGAUCCCGUCUUCUCCACACCCCGCGACGACGACGGCUCUUGUAUUGAUAAUUAUUCGAUGAUAUUUCGAUAAUUAUUAGAUCUAAGAGAUCGGAGGUAAGAACAUGUAACAAGCGAGGCGAUCGUGCCGAGAAGGAGAAAGGAGUGAAAAAAGAGAGAGAUGUGACAUCUAGAGGCCUUUGCCAUGUUGGGUGCGCUCGCAUGGCAGGCCGCCACCGUAAUAAAGAUGUUUCUUGUGUCCCGGGGGGGAGAUCGCACGGGGGUUAUUCUUUUUCAGCCCCGGGGUCUCCCCCCACCGUGUCCUGGUGUGCUCCUUUGUCUACACCUAUAGCCCGAUCCGUCUUCCUGGCACAACGCUCUACCGUCCCGAAUCGAUCAUGGAGCUACCGACCAAAGACCAAAGGUACAAUCGAUAAUCUACAGCUGAGGCAUACAUAAACCUAGUCAAAGUCUGAUCUUCGUAUGAGAACUUUGAAUUCUGUUAUGAGUUCGUUUACACACAAGAACUCACAAUUAUUGGAACACAGUUAAGUUAGAUGUAGAGAAAUCAUUUGUAUGAUUCGCUGUUACUGUACUAUCAAAUCACAGCUCAAAUUAAUACGACCAAAUCAAUUCAUAUUGGCCUCAGAUUCUAUAUAUUUGUUUUUGGUAUCAGUAUAUUUUUAUUGUAUCAGAUGAAGUAUAUUUUUAUUACCUUCUGAUAAUAUUGUAUAUAUGUCAAAGGAUGUUAUUUUAUCUGAAUUUGUCUUCACUUAUUUGUCUACUCACUUGAGAUGUAUAAUGAACAUAAUUUGAUCUGUGAGCUACACUGUUUAUCGUGGUUUUCUAUUCAAUUUGUAAACUCUCUCCUAAUGUAGCCUGAUCAUCAGUAUGAUUGGAUUAUUUAUAAGACAAAUGAAGUCUACAGCUAUCUUCCCUGGACGUGGACACCCUUUUCAUUCCAUUGGCUGAAGUGACUGAAGCAGUUUGAAGAAGGCGUCACCUUUAUUUUGCAAUAUGUUCACCUAAAUUUGUAGCCAUUGGAUGCUCAUAGGACUUGUUCAGAUACUGGUUAGGAUGUACUCGUAAAUUAAGUGCUAUUUGAUUCUUCUGCAGUUGGUGCGUUA